rnacentral:misc_RNA from 1 species
UCUCCGUAGGUGAACCUGCGGAGGGAUCACUACAGGCUUGCAAAAGCUCUGAAACCACUGUUUAUCUACAUGAAUCUGCUUCGGCGGGCGGCCCCAGGGCGGGGCCGUCGCCGCAAGGCGCCCGCCGAAGACCCCUAAACUCCGUCGUCUUGAGAAUCUCUGAGUAUCAUAUUAAACAAAAAACAACUUUCAACAACGGAUCUCUUGGCUCUG